CGCCUUGCCAGCCCGCUCAGAAACUUAAAGGAAUUGACGGGGGCCCGGCACAAGCGGAGGAACAUGUGGUUAAUUCGAUGAUACGCGAGGAACCUUACCUGGGCUCGAACGUAAGAUGACUGUAGGUGAAAGCUUACAUCUCUUCGGAGCAUUUUACGAGGUGCUGCAUGGUUGUCGUCAGCUCGUGCCGUGAGGUGUCGGGUUAAGUCCCAUAACGAGCGCAACCCCUACCUUUAGUUGCCAUCAGGUUAAGCUGGGGACUCUAAAGGAACUGCCUACGCAAGUAGUGAGGAAGGCGGGGAUGACGUCAAAUCAGCACGGCCCUUACGUCCAGGGCUACACACGUGCUACAAUGGCCGAUACAGAGGGCAGCUACCUGGUGACAGGAUGCAAAUCUCCAAAGUCGGUCUCAGUUCGGAUCGGAGUCUGCAACCCGACUCCGUGAAGUUGGAUUCGCUAGUAAUCGCGCAUCAGCCAUGGCGCGGUGAAUACGUUCCCGGGCCUU
rnacentral:rRNA from 1 species